GUAAGGUAAUACUUACUGGAGGUCCGAACCCACGCACGUUGAAAAGUGCGGGGAUGAGGUGUGGGUAGCGGAGAAAUUCCAAUCGAACUUGGAGAUAGCUGGUUCUCUCCGAAAUAGCUUUAGGGCUAGCCUCGAGGUAAAGAGUCAUGGAGGUAGAGCACUGUUUGGACUAGGGGCCCUUCUCGGGUUACCGAAUUCAGAUAAACUCCGAAUGCCAUGUACUUAUACUCGGGAGUCAGACUGCGAGUGAUAAGAUCCGUAGUCGAAAGGGAAACAGCCCAGACCACCAGUUAAGGUCCCCAAAUAUAUGUUAAGUGGAAAAGGAUGUGGGGUUGCUUAGACAACCAGGAUGUUGGCUUAGAAGCAGCCACCAUUGAAAGAGUGCGUAAUAGCUCACUGGUCGAGUGACCCCGCGCCGAAAAUGUACCGGGGCUAAACAUAUUACCGAAACUGUGGAUGAACCUCUUUAGAGGUUCGUGGUAGGAGAGCGUUCUAAGGGCGGUGAAGUCAGACCGGAAGGACUGGUGGAGCGCUUAGAAGUGAGAAUGCCGGUAUGAGUAGCGAAAGAAGGGUGAGAAUCCCUUCCACCGAAUAUCUAAGGUUUCCUGAGGAAGGCUCGUCCGCUCAGGGUUAGUCGGGACCUAAGCCGAGGCCGAUAGGCGUAGGCGAUGGACAACAGGUAGAGAUUCCUGUACCAGUGCUAAUUGUUUAACCGAUGGGGUGACACAGAAGGAUAGGGAAUCGCACGAAUGGAAAUGUGCGUCCAAGCAGUGAGUGUG
rnacentral:rRNA from 1 species